GACAAGAGGAUGGGACUGCAGUUGUGGCUGCCAGGUCUCACUCUCCCUUAGAUGGUCGGCGGGGUGGGGGUGGAGGCCAGGGCUGUAGUGCAGCUCCCGCAGGUGCUGGCUCAGGGGGAGCAGGCAGGCUCCGGUUUUCGGUAAUCCUCCUGGAUGGGGAUGGUGCUGCCCUCCUCCUCCCUGGGGCAGCUGUAACGACAAGGCUCUGCAGGCUCCACAGGACUUUCUCCUUUGUCUGCAGAAGGAGAUCCGAUGAGUCUUGGCCAGCAGUGGGGGCAGGGGGAGACGGGAGAAGGAGAUGGGUAGAGGCGGGUGCGCUUGGGGGAGGGGUGUCAGGAGCACGCCAGCUAAGGGGAGAGAAGGGGUAGGACCAAGGCUGGUGAAGUGGAGCUGGUGGGUUUCAGUGAGAUUCCAGGCGUGGGCAGUGGGGUUGAGCCAGUGGGGUGUGGUGCAAGGGCAGGACCGGAGACCUGUGUUCUGUCUCUUACUUGAUCUGUAUUUCCUUCGUUGAUGGAGGAACAGGGCCCCGGCCAGGGUGAAAACAAGGAACAUUCCAGAGAAGAUCACAAGGAUGCGAAUAAAAUCGGAGCUGCACAGGGAUCUUUGGGCUGUAAUAGGAGGGGACACACAGGGGUUAGGGGAAGGUCUAGCCCUUGGCUCCUUCAGCCCAGCCCUCCUGUCACCUUGCCUCUCCCCUUUCCCCCACCUUAUUCUAUCCCACCCGCCACCGUUGGCCAACUCCUCUCCUAAACAGUGGACUCUGCUUUUUCCCCUCCUCUUAUCCCUAAUCCUAGGAGCUUUCUGUCUGGCUUCCCUCCUGGCCCCUCAUGUAUGCAUUCUCUCUAGCGGUGGGGAUUAAGGAGAAAACUCACGUGGCCAGUGGGUAGAGAGAGUCCGGGCAGGCAGCUGCCUGAAGUCAGCCAGAGUCUGCAUGUGCCCAGCUGUCCUGGCCUCCAGCAUCUCUGGAAAAACAGAGACAGAAUGAGUAGCAGCAGGGAACCCCAUAGGGCACAUCUGAAGGCCUGAGAGGUGCUGGACGGGAUGGGAAGGCAGAAACAGGCUGACCUUAUCUAGGGGUAGGAGUGGGGAGUACUGGCUGGGGUAUCACCGCUACCCCACGUGAUGGCACAGAGAGUUGCCUGGAACUUACCACUGACAUAAGAGUCUCACUCUGUCACCCAGGCUGGAGUGCAGUGGCACGAUCUCAGCUCACUGCAACCUCCGCCUCCUGAGUUCAAGUGAUUCUCCUGCCUCAGCCUCCCUAGUAGCUGGGAUUACAGGACAAGGAGAGGGACAAAUUCCUUCUUGGCAUCCUUAUGGCCCUGUGACCUGCUAAUGAAUGCUGACCCUGAGUUGCUACUAGAAUUUGGUUUCCUUGUGGCUUCCCAGGAGUUGUGAGCCAUGUUGGAUAAGGACCUGCAAGGGAAGAAUGAGGAAGCCUGGGACAGUGCAGGAGGGGAGAGCACUGGUGGUAGGGAGGAGUGAUGACAAGGGUCUCCGCCAAAAGGGAAAUGGAGGGGUUAAAGAAGCUGCUGGGGAGGGUUAAAAACAGUGUGUUCUCACUCGUAGGUGGGAAUUGAACAAUGAGAACACUUGGACACAGGAAGGGGAACAUCACACACUGGGGCCUGUCGUGGGGUGUGGGGAGGGGGGAGGGAUAGCAUUAGGAGAUAUAACUAAUGUAAAUGAUGAGUUAAUGGGUGCAGCACACCAACAUGGCACAUGUAUACAUAUGUAACAAACCUGCACAUUGUGUACAUGUACCCUAGAACUUAAAGUAUAAUUAAAAAACAAAACAAAACAAAAACAAUGAGGUGCUAUUGUUUUAGUGGUGAGUAUCCGGAGACCUGGGAGUUCUAUUUACCAGGUAUAACCUGGGCUCAAAAUUCCAGGCUGACUUCAGGCAUGUCCUCAUCUCAUAGAUGCCAGCACUAAGGCCCAGAGAGGGCCGAGCUCAUUCAGCCCACCCAUCUUCUCACCCCUGGCCGCAUUUCCCGGGGGUCCUUCUGCAGCCAGGUGCUGCUGCGGUACUUUGGGAUCUAUUGGCUGAGCUCCCAGAGAAGGAUCAUGGAUUGGGCUAGUUUGGAACAAGUGAAGGGACUGAAGAUGGGCUCAGUAUGGGGCGAAGACCUUCAGGAAGGGUCUGCAGAGUGAGUAGGGGGGUUUUGACUAGGAAAAGUUCCAACCCUGCAGGGGCCGCUGCCAAGAGAAAAGCAUCUAUUACAGUUACAUUUUUAAGUUAAGUAGACUGAAGAAUAUUUCUUGUGUAUUAAAGAUGUUCCUCUUUGGUUGAUUUGCAAUGGAAAAGCUUUUGUUUUCUUUUUUUUUUUUUGGAAACAGGGUCUCACUCUGCUCACUCUGUCUCCCAAGCUGGAGUGCAGUGGUACAGUCACGGCUCACUGCAGCCUCCACUUCCUGGACUCAAGUGAUCUUCUCACUUCAGCCUUCUGAGUAGCUGGUACUACAGCCCCCUCUGCAGCUCUUCAUUGGGGUCCACUCAAGUCAGAAGCCGCAUCUGGGUGUGAUUCAGAGAGCUGUUUAUGCAAAACCACCCUUGUCACCAUCAGGCAAGGCACCUGAAUUCCCACCGCAGAGAGUGCUGUGGCCCUGAGGACUUUUCUGUCACCAGCCAUUUCCAGGUAGACCCAGUGUAAUCACAAGCAUCCUUGUAAGUGGAAAAGAGGCAGAGGAGACAGCACCAGAGAGGCAGCUGCGUGAGAAGGAUCAAGAUGUUGCUGACUUUGAAGCUGGAAGAAGAAGGCCAUGAGCCUCAGUAUGUGGGAGGCUUCUAGAAGCUGGAAGGGGCAAGGAGAUGGAUUUGACCCUUCAGCCUCCAGGGGCAGCUGUACCUGCCAUCACUGAUUGUAGCCUGGUGAGGCCUGUUUUAGACUUCUGACCUGUAGAGCUGUAACAUAAUACAUUUGGGUUGUUUUCAACCACUAAGUUUGUGGUAAUUUGUUGCAGCAGCUGUAGAAAAUGAAUACAUAUGAAUCCUCUGGCAUUUGUUUGAGAUUUGCUCUAUGGCCUAGUAUGUGGUUGUAAAUGUUCCAUCUGUGCCUGAAAAAAUGUAUAUUUCUAAUUCAGUAGUCUCUGCUUUUUUUUUAUUUUGUACCCCAUCAAUAAAAUGAUUUUCUGCAUGUAUCCCCAAAUAAACAA